ensembl:lncRNA
CUAACCCAUCCCCUCUCCCGUCCCUGGUCUUCACCCCUCUGUCUCUGCACUGCCUUUGCUGUUGCCGGCUUUCUCCCCUCCCAAGAGUGCAGGCCCCUUUCGGGGUUGCACUCUCCUCCACCUUCUCCGAGGCACGUUCUAGCCAUGUCCAGCAGACACGUUGGGUAGCAGGGUCUCUUCUUCCUUACGGAGCCCGCCCCAGCCCCACUCACGCACCGCUAUCUAGUGCCUAUAGAGAACCUCUGCCCAGAUCCUAGAAUCGCCUCAUAACCGCUUUUUUAAUCACUUCCCUGGUUUUUGGAAGGCCUGUGCUUUGGAGAGCUCAAACCCCAGGCAUUCCGGCACUGCCCCCUGUGAAGUGAGAGGGUAACCCAUUAGAUUGCACUUUGCUCAGAAGGAAAAAUGACGGCAUCAUGCUUUUCUCAAUCAGUUAAAUGAAGACCGCCUAUGUUACACUGUACUUCGUAUUCUCCCUGAAGAUAGACGGAGGCAACAUGGCCAAGAGAAGCAGAUAAAAUUUUCUUCUGUAUUUGCCUCCAUCACCAAGUUUUAACCAGCCCCCCAGGCUCUUCUGUCCCCGAGGAUUCUCCAGCAAGAAUACUGGAGUGGGUUGCCAUGACCUUCUCCAGGGGAUCUUCCCAACCAAGGGAUUGAACCCAGGUCUUCCGCAUUGCAUGUCGAAAGAAAAAAGGCAAAAGCAGGUAUAAAUAUAAAUUUAAGAUCAAUUGAAGGAUUCCUAAUGGAAAAAUAUUACAAUGCUUUUUGUCAAGUUUUG